UGGGGGAUAUUGCGCAAUGGGGGCAACCCUGACGCAGCAACGCCGCGUGAAGGAUGAAGGUUUUCGGAUUGUAAACUUCUUUUAUUAAGGACGAAAAUUGACGGUACUUAAUGAAUAAGCUCCGGCUAACUACGUGCCAGCAGCCGCGGUAAUACGUAGGGAGCAAGCGUUGUCCGGAUUUACUGGGUGUAAAGGGUGCGUAGGCGGCUUUGCAAGUCAGAUGUGAAAUCUAUGGGCUCAACCCAUAAACUGCAUUUGAAACUGUAGAGCUUGAGUGAAGUAGAGGCAGGCGGAAUUCCCCGUGUAGCGGUGAAAUGCGUAGAGAUGGGGAGGAACACCAGUGGCGAAGGCGGCCUGCUGGGCUUUAACUGACGCUGAGGCACGAAAGCGUGGGUAGCAAACAGGAUUAGAUACCCUGGUAGUCCACGCUGUAAACGAUGAUUACUAGGUGUGGGGGGUCUGACCCCUUCCGUGCCGGAGUUAACACAAUAAGUAAUCCACCUGGGGAGUACGGCCGCAAGGUUGAAACUCAAAGGAAUUGACGGGGGCCCGCACAAGCAGUGGAGUAUGUGGUUUAAUUCGAAGCAACGCGAAGAACCUUACCAGGUCUUGACAUCCAACUAACGAAGUAGAGAUACAUUAGGUGCCCUUCGGGGAAAGUUGAGACAGGUGGUGCAUGGUUGUCGUCAGCUCGUGUCGUGAGAUGUUGGGUUAAGUCCCGCAACGAGCGCAACCCUUGCUAUUAGUUGCUACGCAAGAGCACUCUAAUAGGACUGCCGUUGACAAAACGGAGGAAGGUGGGGACGACGUCAAAUCAUCAUGCCCCUUAUGACCUGGGCUACACACGUACUACAAUGGCUAUUAACAGAGGGAAGCAAUACCGCGAGGAGGAGCAAACCCCUAAAAAUAGUCUCAGUUCGGAUUGCAGGCUGCAACCCGCCUGCAUGAAGCCGGAAUUGCUAGUAAUCGCGGAUCAGCAUGCCGCGGUGAAUACGUUCCC
rnacentral:rRNA from 1 species